CAGCCGCCGCGGGAAUACAGAGGGUGCGAGCGUUAAUCGGAUUUACUGGGCGUAAAGCGUGCGUAGGCGGCUUUUUAAGUCGGAUGUGAAAUCACUGAGCUUAACUUAGGAAUUGCAUUCGAUACUGGGAAGCUAGAGUAUGGGAGAGGAUGGUAGAAUUCCAGGUGUAGCGGUGAAAUGCGUAGAGAUCUGGAGGAAUACCGAUGGCGAAGGCAGCCAUCUGGCCUAAUACUGACGCUGAGGUACGAAAGCAUGGGGAGCAAACAGGAUUAGAUACCCCCGUAGUCCCUGUCUCUUAUAC
rnacentral:rRNA from 1 species